CAAGUCGAACGAUGAAGUGGAGCUUGCUCCACGGAUUAGUGGCGAACGGGUGAGUAACACGUGAAUAACCUGCCCUCAAUUUCGGAAUAACCCAGGGAAACCUGGGCUAAUACCGGAUACGUAAACCUGUGGCAUCACAUGGUUUUGGAAAGUUUUCGAUUGAGGAUGGAUUCGCGGCCUAUCAGCUUGUUGGUGAGGUAAUGGCUCACCAAGGCGACGACGGGUAGCCGGCCUGAGAGGGUGAACGGCCACACUGGGACUGAGACACGGCCCAGACUCC
rnacentral:rRNA from 2 species